rnacentral:rRNA from 1 species
CGAGUAGGACUACCCGCUGAACUUAAGCAUAUCAAUAAGCGGAGGAAAAGAAACUAACAAGGAUUCCCUUAGUAACGGCGAGUGAAGAGGGAAGAGCUCAAAUUUUGAAUCU